UACAGAGGGCAGCCACCCAGCAAUGGGAUGCGAAUCUCGAAAGCCUGUCUCAGUUCGGAUUGGAGGCUGAAACCCGCCUCCAUGAAGUUGGAUUCGCUAGUAAUCGCGCAUCAGCCAUGGCGCGGUGAAUACGUUCCCGGGCCUUGUACACACCGCCCGUCAAGCCAUGGGAGCCGGGGGUGCCUGAAGUUCGUGACCGCAAGGAGCGACCUAGGGCAAAACUGGUGACUGGGGCUAAGUCGUAACAAGGUAUC
rnacentral:rRNA from 1 species